GUGAAUGACGAGCGUAAUGAGGCAUCUGCCAUCCAAACUAAAAAAUGGAAACACUCCAAAAAGUGGGAGAAGGAAGAACAGGAACUUACAAAAUGUAAACGGAAGACUAAAAAGAGCAAAACAUCACAGCAAGAGUGUACUGGAUCUGAGCUGGGUGCUGAUUGUAGUGAAGUCUCGUUAACAGACCCUGGUGCUGAAGAUGAUCAUGGGAAGAAGCUCUAUCCAGAGAGAGCAACUAAGGAGGAGGUUUCACAAAGCUCCUCCAAACAUUCAAAAAGGCCCAAUUUGGCAAAAAGUGUUCCGAGCCAAAAGCAACAGUAGAGAUUGAGGAUACAGCAGAAGAAUGUCAAGAUAAGAGCUGCAGCGAAGCAGAGAAUGAGGUAUGUUUUCA